rnacentral:rRNA from 1 species
UACAGAGGAUGCAAGCGUUAUCCGGAAUGAUUGGGCGUAAAGCGUCUGUAGGUGGCUUUUUAAGUCCGCCGUCAAAUCCCAGGGCUCAACUCUGGACAGGCGGUGGAAACUACCAAGCUGGAGUACGGUAGGGGCAGAGGGAAUUUCCGGUGGAGCGGUGAAAUGCGCAGAUAUCAGGAGGAACACCGAUUGCGAAGGCAGCUCGCUGGGACGUAACUGACGCUGAGACGCGAAAGCGUGGGGAGCAAACAGG